rnacentral:tRNA from 1 species
GGGUCUGUGGGGUAGCUUGGUAUCCUUCCAGCUUGGGGUGCUGGUGACUCCGAUUCAAAUUCGGGCAGACCCACCA